rnacentral:rRNA from 1 species
UGGGGAAUAUUGCACAAUGGGCGCAAGCCUGAUGCAGCAACGCCGCGUGAGGGAUGACGGCCUUCGGGUUGUAAACCUCUUUCAGUAGGGAAGAUGCGAAAGUGACGGUAUCUGCAGAAAAAGCACCGGCUAACUACGUGCCGGCAGCCGCGGUAAUACGUAGGGUGCGAGCGUUGUCCGGAAUUAUUGGGCGUAAAGCGCUCGUAGGCGGUCCGUCGCGUCUGCCGUGAAAACCCGAGGCUCAACCUCGUGCCUGCAGUGGGUACGGGCAGACUAGAGUGCGGUAGGGUAGAAUGGAAUUCCUGGUGUAGCGGUGGAAUGCGCAGAUAUCAGGAGGAAAACCUAUGGCGAAGGCAGUUCUCUGGGCCGUAACUGACGCUGAGGAGCGAAAGCGUGGGGAGCGAAC